UUCGCAAUGCCCGAAAGGGUGACGAAGCGACGCCGCGUGUGGGAAGAAGGCCUUCGGGUUGUAAACCACUGUCGGGAGUUAGGAAAUGUAAGGGUGUUAAUAGCGUCCUUACUUGACUAAGGCUCCGGAGGAAGCCACGGCUAACUCUGUGCCAGCAGCCGCGGUAAUACAGAGGUGGCAAGCGUUGUUCGGAAUUAUUGGGCGUAAAGAGCACGUAGGCGGCCCUGCAAGUCAGUUGUGAAAGCCUUCUGCUUAACGGAAGAACAGCAGCUGAUACUGCAAGACUAGAGUGCGGAAGGGGAGAGUGGAACUUCUGGUGGAGCGGUGAAAUGCGUAGAUAUCAGAAGGAACACCGGCGGCGAAGGCGACUCUCUGGUCCGUAACUGACGCUGAGUGUGCGAAAGCUAGGGGAGCAAACGGGAUUAGAUACCCCGGUAGUCCUAGCCGUAAACGAUGGGCACUAAAUAGAGGGGUUUUA
rnacentral:rRNA from 1 species